GAAAGACGUAAGCUUGGGUUUAUGAAGUGUGCUUAUCGCUAAAUUUGGUUGCUUCUAUCUGUUAUGAUUUUUAUCAUGCCUUUCUUUCAUAUGGAUUUUCUUCCCCUUUGGCUGAUAUAUGGAAAUGGGUGGUUCACAACUGUGCUGCUCUGUUUCAAGAAAUAGAGAAGAAUAUGCACUUUUGUUAUUAGUAUUCAUAUGGUUAUUGCGCUUAAAUUUGCCUACUACUGAUAUGCUGUGAUGAAUUUAAUUUUUUUUCCCUUUAUGAAACCAAAGCAAAUAUGAAGGCAAAAGAUUCAAUUUUUUCUCCUUCAUCCCUUAUCUUUUCUCGUUGUGGGUGGGUUCUUAGUUUGGAUGUGGAACUGAUUGAAUGGAAAUCUCCAUUUUCUUUGAUUUCCCAGCUUGGUAACUUCUGGUAUAUGGUUAUUUUCGAAAAAGCUAGAAACUUUGCAAGUUUUCAUGGAUUUUUACCAAAACGCUAAAAAACACUGUUCAAUCAUGUUUUGGUCUUUGCAACUGUGUUUGGGUUUUCACGUAAAAGUUCAAAACUUGCUGAAAAUUUACAUUCUCUCUUAAACUGGGUAAUCAAUUUUGGCUUAGUGGGUUUGCUUAUCUGGUUUUGCACUGUAGUUUUGCAGCUUUGUUAUAACCA
rnacentral:misc_RNA from 1 species